GACGAACGCUGGCGGCGUGCCUAACACAUGCAAGUCGAACGGGGUAGUUCCUUCGGGGACUACUUAGUGGCGAACGGGUAAGUAACGCGUGAGGAACCUGCCUUUCAGUGGGGGACAACAGUUGGAAACGACUGCUAAUACCGCAUAACAUGUACGGAUCGCAUGGUCUGUACAUCAAAGAUUUAUUGCUGAAAGAUGGCCUCGCGUCUGAUUAGCUAGUUGGUGGGGUAACGGCCCACCAAGGCGACGAUCAGUAGCCGGUCUGAGAGGAUGAACGGCCACAUUGGGACUGAGAUACGGCCCAGACUCCUACGGGAGGCAGCAGUGGGGAAUGUUGGGCAAUGGGGGAAACCCUGACCCAGCAACGCCGCGUGAAGGAAGAAGGCCUUCGGGUUGUAAACUUCUUUUACCAGGGACGAAGAACGUGACGGUACCUGGAGAAAAAGCAACGGCUAACUACGUGCCAGCCGCCGCGGUAAUAC
rnacentral:rRNA from 1 species